UACGUAGGUGGCAAGCGUUGUUCGGAAUUACUGGGCGUAAAGCGCGUGUAGGCGGCUCUUCAAGUCAGGCGUGAAAGCCCCGGGCUUAACUCGGGAACUGCGCUUGAUACUGUCGAGCUAGAGUGUGGAAGGGGCGAUUGGAAUUCUCGGUGUAGCGGUGAAAUGCGUAGAUAUCGAGAGGAACACCUGCGGCGAAGGCGGGUUGCUGGGCCGACACUGACGCUGAUGCGCGAAAGCCAGGGGAGCGAACGGG
rnacentral:rRNA from 1 species